rnacentral:rRNA from 1 species
CCUACGGGUGGCAGCAGUAGGGUAUCUUUCACAAUGGGCGAAAGCCUGAUGGAGCAACGCCGCGUGCAGGAUGAAGGCCUUCGGGUUGUAAACUGCUUUUAUAAGCGAGAAAUAUGAUGGUAACUUAUGAAUAAGGAUCGGCUAACUACGUGCCAGCAGCCGCGGUCAUACGUAGGAUCCGAGCAUUACCCGGAGUGACUGGGUGUAAAGAGUUGCGUAGGUGGCAUAAUAAGUAGCUAGUGAAAUCUGGUGGCUCAACCAUUCAGACUAUUAGCUAAACUGUUAAGCUCGAGACCGUUAGGGGUAACUGGAAUUUCUAGUGUAGGAGUGAAAUCCGUAGAUAUUAGAAGGAACACCAAUAGCGAAGGCAGGUUGCUGGGACGGUUCUGACACUAAGGCACGAAAGCGUAGGGAGCAAACGGGAUUAGAUACCCCUGUAGUC